AUACUCAUCCUGGCAAUACAUAUACUAACACUGGGUCAAUACAGAGCAGAAUCACAUGGCUCCUGCACAAGGAUAGCACACACAUCUGUGAAUCAUGUCAUGUUUAA
ensembl:snRNA U6 U6 spliceosomal RNA